rnacentral:rRNA from 1 species
UACGGGGGGGGCAAGCGUUGUUCGGAAUUACUGGGCGUAAAGGGCUCGUAGGUGGCCAACUAAGUCAGACGUGAAAUCCCUCGGCUUAACCGGGGAACUGCGUCUGAUACUGGAUGGCUUGAGUUCGGGAGAGGGAUGUGGAAUUCCAGGUGUAGCGGUGAAAUGCGUAGAUAUCUGGAGGAACACCGGUGGCGAAGGCGGCAUCCUGGACCGAUAUUGACGCUGAUGCGCGAAAGCCAGGGGAGCAAACGGG